rnacentral:lncRNA from 1 species
CGGAGAGGUGUCUGAAUAACAGACAGAAUUGCUCUGUUACAGUUUAAUCCCCUGCAGUGAAAUCUGUCUGCAGGCAUUGCACCCAGCCUGGUGGUGACAUCCAUAAGUGCCCCUGGAACAUACAGCCUUCCUACUGCACUGAUGUAAUUCAUGUGACAUACAUUCAAACUGAGCAACCCAUAAACAGUGCUGUAUGGCCAUCUGAGGGUGACAAUGUUACAGUCACACGGCCAUAAUAAACCAUAAAGCUGUGUCACCUCUUUAACAAAUGAUUUUCCCAUCUACAUACUAAAGUCGAGGUACAAAUGCUUUUCUUUGCCAAUAUCUUUUCUGAAAUUGAGAGUUUGGAUAGAUUAUGGGCAUGGCUUUCCUUUUAAAUACAUCUCAACUGGUGAUUGUGACACGCUUGAUCGAUUGUUAGUCAAGGACAAACUGGACUUAUGAACACGACUCUGUACUCUGCCCUGGAGCUGGUUGUGCCCUGUAUGGCUGCAUUUGGCCUCGAUCAGAAAAACAGCUGGCACGUCCUGGAAACCUAAUGGAGAUACUGCAGUCUAAUAGGAAGAGAAGCUCCAGCUCUCAGCACCCCCCUGGCUACAAGGCACCUUGUCUGACCUGCAGUCCCUUCAGACAUGUGUGAGUCUGUUUCUGGGCAAGCCAGGCUGACCCAGCCCAAGAAACUAGGCACUGAAAACCACAAAUCAAGCAGCAUCUACAUAGACUUGUGCUGAGGGUGGAGUUGGUUCUGCUGAAGAAUAUAUCAACUUGUUGAUCAUUCCUGUUCCAGUCAAGGCACCUAGCUCACUUGUUUUAUUCCAUGAUAAUUACUCCGUUACUAUUAUUGCUCGUGUAGAUACUCCCUAAGCUGGUGGUACCUGAACCUGUUUGAGAAAGCCCCAUUCACAAUGCUUCUAGUCCAGCCGGGCUGGUUACACAUGAGAAGGAACAGCUUCUACCUUUCCUGGUGAUCCCUCUCCUUUUCCUAGCAAUGAACGUUAGAUUUGCAGAGGAAACUUGUUCUUAGCCUCGGGGAUGGGAGCGGCAGAGUACGUGGGGCCCUGAGUCUGCCCCAGCCUCCACCACUGUUCAGGAGUUCUCUCAAAUAGUAAUUACAUAUGAAAAAAAAUAAAACAGAUUUCUCCUGUUUUCUUGGAUUUUUG